AGGAGUUUGAUCAUGGCUCAGAUUGACGCUGAGCGGGAGGCCUUACACAUGCAAGUCGAGCGGCAGCAGCGAGAGAGCUUGCUCUCUUGGGGGCGAGCGGCGGACGGGUGAGUAAUAUAUGGGAUCUGCCCAGUACCGGGGGAUACUACUGGACAGAGGGGUAAUCCCGCAUACGUCUACGGGGGAAAGAGGGGGAUCUCAGGACCUCCCACUAUUGGAGCGGCCGAUAUUGGAUUAGCUAGUUUGGUGGGGUAAAGGCUCCCCCAAGGCACCGAUCUCGUAGCUGUUUUGAGAGGAAGGUCCACCCCCCUUGGGAUGAGACCCGCCCCAGACUCUUAAGGGAGCCACCAGUGGGGAAUUUUCGCCAAUGGGGGAAACCUGAUCCAGCCAUCCCGCGUGUAUGAGAAAGCCCUUCGGGUUGGUAAAGUUACUUUUGGCAGGAGAAGAAAAUGGUAUUGGUUUAAUACGUCUAUUCUGGGUGACGGUACCUGCAAGAAUAAGCACCGGCUAAUUCCGUCCCAGCAGCCGCGGUAAUAGGGUAGGGUGCAUGCGUUAAAUCGGAAUUACUGGGCGUAAAGCGUGCGCAGGCGGUUAGGAAAAGAAAGAUGUGAAAUCCCAGGGCUUAACCUUGGAAUUGCAUUUUUAACUGCCGAGCUAGAGUAUGUCAGAGGGGGGUAGAAUUCCACGUGUAGCAGUGAAAUGCGUAGAUAUGUGGAGGAACACCGAUGGCGAAGGCAGCCCCCUGGGAUAACACUGACGCUCAGGCACGAAAGCGUGGGGAGCAAACAGGAUUAGAUACCCUGGUAGUCCACGCCCUAAACGAUGUCAACUAGCUGUUGGGGCCGUUAGGCCUUAGUAGCGCAGCUAACGCGUGAAGUUGACCGCCUGGGGAGUACGGUCGCAAGAUUAAAAAUCAAAGGAAUUGGCGGGGCCCCACCCAAGCGGUGGAUGAUGUGGAUUAAUUCGAUGCAACGCGAAAAACCUUACCUACCCUUGCCAUGUCUGGAAUACAGAAGAGAUUUGGCCGUGCUCGCAAGAGAACCGGAACACAGGUGCUGCAUGUCAGUCGUCAGCUCGUGUCGUGAGAUGUUGGGUUAAGUCCCGCACCGACCGCAACCCUUGUCAUUAGUUGGUACGCAAGAGCACUCUAAUGAGACUGCCGGUGACAAACCGGAGGAAGGUGGGGAUGACGUCAAGUCAUCAUGGCCCUUAUGGGUAGGGCUUCACACGUCAUACAAUGGUCGGGACAGAGGGUCGCCAACCCGCGAGGGGGAGCCAAUCUCAGAAACCCGAUCGUAGUCCGGAUCGCAGUCUGCAACUCGACUGCGUGAAGUCGGAAUCGCUAGUAAUCGCGGAUCAGAAUGUCGCGGUGAAUACGUUCCCGGGUCUUGUACCCCCCCCCCGUCACCCCAUGGGAGUGGGUUUCCCAGAAGUAGGUAGCCUAACUGUAAGGAGGCGCUACCCCUUAGG
rnacentral:rRNA from 1 species